rnacentral:rRNA from 1 species
AAACGGGUGGUAAUGCCGGAUGCUCCGACUCCUCGCAUGGGGUGUCGGGAAAGAUUUCAUCGGUAUGGGAUGGGGUCGCGUCCUAUCAGGUAGUCGGCGGGGUAACGGCCCACCGAGCCUACGACGGGUAGCCGGCCUGAGAGGGCGACCGGCCACAUUGGGACUGAGAUACGGCCCAGACUCCUACGGGAGGCAGCAGUGGGGAAUAUUGCACAAUGGGCGCAAGCCUGAUGCAGCGACGCCGCGUGCGGGAUGACGGCCUUCGGGUUGUAAACCGCUUUUGAUCGGGAGCAAGCCUUCGGGUGAGUGUACCUUUCGAAUAAGCACCGGCUAACUACGUGCCAGCAGCCGCGGUAAUACGUAGGGUGCAAGCGUUAUCCGGAAUUAUUGGGCGUAAAGGGCUCGUAGGCGGUUCGUCGCGUCCGGUGUGAAAGUCCAUCGCUUAACGGUGGAUCUGCGCCGGGUACGGGCGGGCUGGAGUGCGGUAGGGGAGACUGGAAUUCCCGGUGUAACGGUGGAAUGUGUAGAUAUCGGAAAAGAACACCCA